rnacentral:rRNA from 1 species
CCUACGGGAGACUGCAGUGAGGAAUAUUGGUCAAUGGACGAGAGUCUGAACCAGCCAAGUAGCGUGAAGGAUGACUGCCCUAUGGGUUGUAAACUUCUUGUAUAUGGGAAUAAAAUGUUCCACGUGUGGGAUUUUGUAUGUACCAUAUGAAUAAGGAUCGGCUAACUCCGUGCCAGCAGCCGCGGUAAUACGGAGGAUCCGAGCGUUAUCCGGAUUUAUUGGGUUUAAAGGGAGCGUAGGUGGAUUGUUAAGUCAGUUGUGAAAGUUUGCGGCUCAACCGUAAAAUUGCAGUUGAAACUGGCAGUCUUGAGUACAGUAGAGGUGGGCGGAAUUCGUGGUGUAGCGGUGAAAUGCUUAGAUAUCACGAAGAACUCCGAUUGCGAAGGCAGUUCACUGGACUGCAACUGACACUGAGGCUCGAAAGUGUGGGUAUCAAACAGGAUUAGAUACCCCAGUAGUC